GUGGAGGAAUAUUGGACAAUGGAGGCAACUCUGAUCCAGCCAUGCCGCGUGCAGGAAGACUGCCCUAUGGGUUNUAAACUGCUUUANAUAGGAAGAAACCCAACCACGUGUGGUUGGCUGACGGUACUGUAUG
rnacentral:rRNA from 1 species